UUAAACUAUAUCAUUAAAAAUUUACAGAUUCGAGAUUACAUCUCCUCUUUCAACGCUCGAUUGAAUAUAUUUCUGUCAUUGUUUUGUAUAAAAUGUUAACUAUUUUUUAUGAUUAAAUCUGAAAUUUGCAUAUUAUUCAACAGAAAUUAAUUUUUACUUUUGUCAAAUGUUAAAUAAAAUUUAAAUUUAUUGAAAUUUUAAAGCUUCCAGCGUUAAGAAUGAAAAUGUGAGAGACGGCGACAAAAACGUGUUUUUUAUCGUUAGUUUACAUCGUGCACCUAUCGUUUCUAUCGACAAUUGCGACAGUGCGCGACUUCUGGAAUAUUACUGACUGUAAUUUCAGAUCUUCACGCGACAAUUUGAUCGAUCGACGUCUCUCGCUAUCUGUAUUCAAAUUAUCGUUAUUUCCGUUUGUCGGAAGCAUUAUCAUUUACUUACGCCGCAUUCGUAACUCAUUUAGAUAAGAUUUGAUUUAGUUCAACUUUUCUCGUAUAAUAAUUUAAUCGCCAUUGUUCUUACGUUUGUCAACUGGUCAACAUUGCAGCCACGAACUAUCGGCUUCAUCUAAGAUAGUGAAAAUUGUAGUUCGGCAGUAAGGGGAGCCGUGCUGAAUCAUCGCGCUGUAUAAAAUCCAGUGGGCAUGCAUUAGGAAAACGACCUUGCUACCUCUCUCUUCGUGAUUCGCGACGAAACAUUGUGUAUAUCGAAUUAUCGACCUACCACACUAUUUGCAAUUUAAAUGAUUGGAGCAGUUUUCAGGAUCACGUGCUAGAGCAAACUGGGAUUUCAAUAGACGAGCACAGGUGGACAUCUACAAACAACGCAGACAUACAAAAAACAUCGCGUUUAUUCUGUCCUCUUAACUGUAUAAUAUAUAUAUUUACUUAACACUGUUCCAUCGAAGAGAACUCAUAGCUGAUUAGAGCGAACAGAGUAUGGUACAUCGCGGUCUCGAUGAAAAAAAACCAACGGGAUCGUGGCACCGGAUUCACGGCGCGCGGUUCUUUCUAAUCAACUAAUUAACACAGAGUUCGGACAAUUGAGGAUCGAUCGUGUAUCGUUGACUGGUUGCGAGUUGCGAGCAGUCCUGUCUGCGAACAGGAUGAGACUGACGCGCGACUCGUCGUUCUUUACCUCGUUAUCCCGACGAGCGCGAUCGCAACCAGUAACACCGGUCUGACAAAAUGCAUUCCCGUUCGCGAUGCACUGUCCGCAGCGAUCGAAAUCACUUUGAUGCCUAUUUAUACAGUAAUAGUCUCGUUUACUAUUCACUUAUGCAGUAUUUUUUGUUUCUUAUCGAGUCUAAUCGGUUUUUCGAUCAAUUUAUUUUUUGAUUUCGUAAAAUCUUAGAAAAAUGGAAAUUCGACGCGCAUUCAUAAAUUACUAUCGAUCAUCUGACGCGAGAAGAUUAUUAUCAUUUGUGUUCCGAUUACUCAUCAUCAUUUUUAAUAAUCGUAGACUUGAU